GGGGGCGUCACGGUUUCGACGUGUUUGGUGAACGUGGAGUUGCGUGCUGAGGUCUCGAUCCUCAUGAAUCUUCGAGAACAUUUUUAGCUGCCAACGAUAAUCUGGCGCUGGCUGCGUAAGCUUACUUACGUGCCCGUCUCUUUAACUGCCUGCCCGAGGCAGGUUCAGAGGCGACGAUAAGUCGGGCUGGUUCCCAGGCUCCGCCGUCGAGUCAGGGGAUGAGACAUUAGACGGCUGGCUAAGGGUUUGGUUGAUCGCUGACCACCCGAAGUGAGAUUACCCAGCGAUCUACGCACGUAGAAGCUUUGCCGGAGCCAUAUGCGGACGGGGGUUCGACUCCCCCCGCCUCCAUUU
rnacentral:tmRNA from 1 species